GACGAACGCUGGCGGCGUGCCUAAUACAUGCAAGUAGAACGCAGACGGCGGAGCUUGCUCUUCUGGAUGAGUUGCGAACGGGUGAGUAACGCGUAGGUAACCUGCCUGGUAGCGGGGGAUAACUAUUGGAAACGAUAGCUAAUACCGCAUAACAGUAGAUGUUGCAUGACCUUUACUUAACAGGUGCAAUUGCAUCACUACCAGCUGGACCUGCGUUGUAUUAGCUAGUGGGUGGGGUAACGGCUCACCAAGGCGACGAUACAUAGCCGACCUCAGAGGGUGAGCGGCGACGCUGGGAUGAGGACACGGCCCAGAACACUACGGGUGGGAGCAGUACGGAACCUUCGGCAAAGGACGGAAGUCUGAACGAGCAACGCUGCGUGAGAGAAGAACGGUGUCGGGUCGUGAAGAUCAGGUGUGUGAGAGGAUCGAGUGUGACAGUGGAAAGUGCAGACUGUGACGGUACCUGAACAGAAAGGGACGGCUAACUACGUG
rnacentral:rRNA from 1 species